CUAAUAUGUCUACUGCUUAGCUCUUUUUACUUCUAUUUCUGUCUGUAAGAGUUUUUUAAAAAUAUUUUUUAGAUCUGCACUGUCCAAUAUGAAUCACCACUAGCCAUAUUUGUCAAAUAAAUUGAGAGCAAUUUAAUUAAGUAAAAUUAAGGCUUCAGUUCUUCAAACUGGCCACAUCUCAAGUGUGCAGUAGCUGCAUGAGGUUAGUGGCUAUCCUUUUGGACAACAGAGUGUAAACAUUUCCGAAAGAAACAUUUCAGAAAAUUCUAUUGGACAAUGUUGGUCUGAAUAGCCAUUCUUUUUCUGUUUUGUAUUGAAAUAUUUUCUCUCAGACCAUCCUUAUAUUUUUGUCUUUUGAAUACGUUCUUUUGUGGUAAAAAAAUAAUACAUUCUUAUGAGGCUAAAUAUAUUAAUUAUUUUUAUAUGGAUUUUGUUUAAGAAAAACCUCAGAAGUGAUAAACAAUUUCUACAUAUUUUCUUCUAAAUUAUGUAGGAGAUUUAUUUUGUUCUUUAACCUAUCUAAAAUUAAUUUUAGAGUGCAAAAUAGAUACUUGAUUCAAUUUUCUACAAUGGGUUGUCAGUCUUUCCAGUACCAUGCAUUGUACUUGAAAGAAGCAAAACCAGAAAUAUUGGUGAAUAGUACUAAUAAAUAUCACAUACCUUUAAUCAAGGUACUGAAAAUUUCCUUCUGACUUUAGUUUGCUAAAGAAGUUUUGGUAGGAAUGAAUAUUAAAUUUUGUCAACCGCUUCUUUUGUACUUCUCAAGAGAAUAUUUUUUUUUCCUGCCUGAUUGGGACAAAUUCUACUGUUAGUUGAGGAUAAUGUAUUAUUUUUAAUUUACUAAUGGAUUUGAUGUGCUAAUAUUUUACUUAGAAUUUUUGCAUGUGUUCAGAAACAAGAUUGGCUUUUUGUUGUUGUUGAUACACAGUAUUUCGUGGUAUGGAUGUAUCAUACUUGGUUUAGCCAGCCGUCUAUUAAAGGACAUUUGCGUUUUCUAAUAUUCUAAUUACAAACAAUGCUAUGAUGCUGCUUUAACCCUGUGUCCCUAUGUCCUUUUUCACCUGGACAGGUAUAUCUAUAAAAUAAAUUCCCAAGAGGAGAUUGCCAACUCAAAAAGUAAGUUCGCCAGAUACUGCCAAAUCGGCCUCCAUGUUUGUACUGAUUUACAUUCCAACUGGAAAUGUUUGAGAGGCUGAUUUCCCCACAGUAUCCUUGACCAGUGAACUCCAACUCCUUGACUCAGCAAGGCCAUCUGGCUCUGCCUGUGUCCUUCCCCUAUACCAGUAGUCCAGAAAUUCACUCCAGGCAGAGAACUGGGCAAUUGCAUGUCUCAUCUCAUUUAUUUCCCUUCUUUGAGGGGUCACAGUCCUGUGUUGCCCAUUGUCCAAUGUCUGAAAGAAGUUGUUUGAGAUAUUUUGUUUUCCAGCUAUUUAUUAUGGGCGAUUCAAUCUGUUCUUGCUACUCCAUCAUGGACUGAAAGUACAUGUCUUGCUUUUACUUUUUAUUUUCAACCUUUCUUUUUAUGGCAUAGAGUUGGGUUUGGUUUUGUAAUCCAAUCUGGAAAUCUCUUAAAUGGGUAACUUAAGCUACUUGACUGACAUGGUAGAUAUGUUCUAUCUCAGUUGUCAUUAUUUUAUCUUUAUUUUAUUUUUUUAUGGCUGCACCCACAGUACAUGGAAGUUCCCGGGCUAGGGAUUGAAGCUGAGCCGUAGCUGAGACUUAUGCCACAGCUGUAGCAAUGCCAGAUCCUUAACAUACUUCUGGGCUGGAGAUUAAACCCACACCUCCACAGUGACUCACAUGCCACUGCUGGAUUCUUAACUCACUGUGCCACAGCAAGAACUCCUGUCAUUUUAUAUUGUGCUCACUUUUUAUAUUCAAGUCAUUCCUAGUCAACUUUUUUUACUUAUUUUUGGGUAAGGUUCUUCUUCAAUGUAGACAGACUUACAUUUUUGGCUAUUAUCUUCAUAAAUGUAACUUUACACAAUUCUCUUAAUUCUCUACUUUCUUGGACUAUAUAGGUUCUUUUUUAUGAGCAAUGAUAAAAAUAGCAUUUUUCCUCUUCCUUCCUUAACUUUUUCUUCUCAUUCACCACCUUAUUUUAGUCAACAAUAUAGUCUUUCUAUGUUUAUUUUUGUAUGGUUAAUAUGCUUGUGAUUCUUUUACUUGAUUUUCAACCUGAAAUGAUAUCAUUUGAUUCCCACGAUGACAAAGGAGACAAUCAGCAAGUUUCUUCUAUCUUCCAUCCUUGCUUCUCUUUUCUCUUCCAAAAUUGCAUCAUUUCUACAUCAGCAGAUUACAUGACAUUUAUUUUCUGUAUUGAUAUGCUAACCCCCACAUUUGCCUUAAUCUUAGAGCUACAUUUAGGUCUAUUCCAUGUUUGACAAUCUCUUGGCUGCUUAAAGUUUAUUCCUAGUGAUAUACUAUGUUGGGCAUCUUUUGCUUGUCUUCGAUGUCUAAGAUUUUUCUCUUUACUCUUAUGUAAAACCUUUUUGACUUCCAUUUCUUCUGUUCAGUUUUCUCAUUUUUACUCUCUUUGUCCCUACUCUGUCUUCUCUCUUAUGUUCCCUCCAAGUUUGUCUCAAUUCUUAUGAUUGUUUUGCCAUUUUCUUUAAUUUCUUUCCUGAGUUCUUCAAACUCAUGAAUCAUUUCCUCUUAUUUUCUUAUCACCUCUUCCUUGAGAUUAAAAUAUAAAUUCUGCUGGAGUUUCAUUCUUAGUAGCAAUGUGUUCAUUAAUUUUCCAAUUUCAUGGCAACAUAUUGGUUAGGGUUUCCAUCUGCUUCAGGAUAACAUUUUUUUUUCUGAUAAUUGUUCUUUGGUUCUUGAUAAGUCUUGUUGAUUUUCCCAUAAUAAAAAAUUAAUAUCUCCAUAUCUGUGUUUUGCUAGUUGACUUUAAAAUUACUCAUCUUUGAAUGUCUUGGGUUUUCCUGGACCAAGAGGUUUCUGGCAGAGGGUGGUAUAGAGAGGGCAGCUGUUGGGGCCAGUAUUCUCUUCCAGACUACAACUCAUAGACUGUCUCCUUCUGUGCCACCACAAAAACAGACUGCUUCCUGCACAUAUGGCUCAGCUUUGUGAUUCUUUGAGCAGUCCCACUCAAAAAAUGAUUCUUUGAAUCAGAUCUGCUUCUUUGACCGUGAAGUCAAAACAUCUUUUUGUCAAUGUUCUUGCAUAUUCUGAAAAAUGUAUUCUUAUCUAUGUUCUCCAAUAUUUCAUUUACAUAAUUUCUACUGAUUUUACUUUUAUUUGAUAACAUAGUAUAAUGAAAAGACAAUAGAGAAAGAGUAAAAUGUACCCCUAUAGGGGUGGCAGUCUGACCCUCGGUGGUGUCUUCUUUAGGAAUUGGCACCAAUACUUAGGGGAAGCCCCUAUCCUUAUCCCUCUGGUCAUGACUCUUUGGUACAGUAAUACAAAUGAUCAGAAGGAAAUAUCAGAAAUAAAAAUUGAGAAAUACCAUAAUCACCAAAUCAUAAAUUCAUCUCUCAUCUUUUUUCCACUUUCUUCUAUAAAGGAAAUGGCAAUGCAUUAUUUUAUUUAUUGUACCUAUACUAUUAUAACUGCUAUUUUUAUACUUAUUUUGCAUAUGAUGUAAUAAAGCUCAAAGAGGUUUAAUGCCCAAGAUUACAAGCCAGGAAGAUGCAGAGAGAGAAUGUGACUCCAAGACUACCUUACUGGGAAGUCCACAUUCAUUUUACUGUAUUAUACUAUAUUAACAAUACUAUCUAUAUUAUAUACCAUACCAUACCAUACUAUACUAUACCAUAGUAUAUUCUGCAGCCUCCUCACUUUUUCAUGGUGAAUUUGCAAUUCUGGAAAAUAUACAUACUAUAAAGUUUCAUAAGUGUUAUUAAAUAACCAUUAUUGAGUUUAAAGACAGGUCCAGGAGUUCCUGGUGUGGCACUGCAGAAACAAAUCUGACUAGGAACCAUGAGGUUGUAGGUUCGAUCCCUGGCCUCCCUCAGUGGGUUAAGGAUACAGCGUUGCUGUGAACUGUGGUGUAGGUCACAGACGUGGCUCAGAUCUGGCGUUGCUGUGCCUGUGGUUUAGGCCGGCAGUUGUAGCUCCAAUUCAACCCCCAGCCUGGGAAGCUCCACGUGCCAUGGGUGCAGCCCCAAAAAGCAAAAAAAAAGAAAGAAAGAAAGAAAGAAAAAAAAGCAGGUCCAUUAGUUAAGUCAUUAAGUUUCUGGUAAUGAUUGUUUUUAAUUUCCAAAUGAUGGUAAAAAAAAUAAUAAUUUUUACGUGGGAAAGAGCUUUUUGACCUUCAAAUUUAAAGCUAUCCUAUAGGGAAUUAAUUUAAUGAAGUUAUACAAGCUUGUGCACAG
rnacentral:lncRNA from 1 species